UACGAAGGGUGCAAGCGUUAUUCGGAUUUAUUGGGUGUAAAGGGUGUGUAGACGGCAUGUUAAGUCCGCUGUUAAAUUUCCCGGCCUAACUGGGAGCCAGCGGUGGAUACUGGCGUGCUAGAGGAUGGAAGAGAGAAGUGGAAUUCCCGGAGUAGCGGUAAAAUGCGUAGAUCUCGGGAGGAACACCAAUGGCGAAGGCAGCUUCGUGGUCCAUAUCUGACGUUGAGACACGAAAGCGUGGGGAGCAAACAGG
rnacentral:rRNA from 1 species